GGACGAACGCUGGCGGCGUGCCUAACACAUGCAAGUCAGGGAGAAGGAGGUAGCAAUACUUCCGGAAACCGGCGCACGGGUGAGUAACACGUAGGUAACCUACCCUUGAGCGGGGGAACAACAUCGAGAAAUCGGUGCUAAUACCGCAUAAUGCAACGAGACCGCAUGGUUUUGUUGUUAAAGAUCCGCAAGGAUCACUUGAGGAUGGACCUGCGCCCGAUUAGCUAGUUGGCGGAGUAAAGCCCACCAAGGCAACGAUCGGUAGCCGACCUGAGAGGGUGAUCGGCCACACUGGAACUGAGAUACGGUCCAGACUCCUACGGGAGGCAGCAGUGAGGAAUAUUGUCAAUGGCGAAAGGCUGAACCAGCAACGCCGCGUGAGGGACGAAGAAUC
rnacentral:rRNA from 1 species